UGCAGAAUGAGGCAUGUGGAGCUGCUGAGCAGUUGGCUUCCAUGGGGGCUCAGCCAAAAUUGGUCCCUCCUCUCCAAAGCAGGGCUUAAGGAGCUGACAUCCACUGACUCUGACCGGAGCAGUUGGCCUCCUAGGGGACUAGCCACAGUGGGAUCUUUUUUCAUGCUCUUUUGGACAAUUUGUGAUGUGAACUUCUGUACUUUAUCUCUCAAGGUCAUACAGUCUGGUAUCAGAUAGCAACAGAGCUGCAGCAAUAACAGCAAAUGCCAUCUUAGAUUAAUCUGCAGGUCUCUAAACUCUGCUUUAAGCUUGACUUCAGUUUGAUUGCUUCCUUGGCCUUUGUUCUGAAACAAUAAACUGAGAUGGAGAUAUAUAGAUAAUCUGGCUCCUGCCCCCAGGCUGCAUGCUCAUGGAGGAUGCUGUAGCACAGGUGAUUCAAAAGAAAUAAAAAACAGAAACAAGUUUUCAUGUCAAAUGAAACGUAUUUGUGAGCCAAAUGUGAUCCAUGAGCUACUAAAUUGAAACUUCAGAAGUACCAGCAAAUCCAUUUAACUUUCAUCAAUGAAUCAAUGAACAAAUGGAUGAAAAAAUAAGUUUCUCAAGUAAGUUGGCCUCAAGAAUAAAGUGCAAGGGGAACGUAUAAUACUAUCAUCAAAAUAAAAUCAAAUGUAUGGUUGUAUAAUCAAAGUGCCUGGUGCUAUCAUUUAUGAGAAGUCUGUACUUGGACAAAUUAUAUAUAACUUCUCUAACCUCAUUUUCCUCAUGUAAAAUGGACAAACAAUAAUACCUCAUAAGAUUGUUAAAAGUAUUCAGUGAUUUCACCUAUGUAAAGGCAAGUAAUCCAGUGCUAGGAACCUAAGUGCUCAAGAAGGUUUUGCUGUAGAGCAGAUGGAAAUUGUUGAAGAUUUUAUGAAAUAAGAGAAUUACUCAGUUUGGAAAUUUAAUUGUAAAAAGUCAAAGAUGACUCCAAGAUGUAUUUCAGCAAUUAAACAUACCUAAGUAUUCUCUAGCUGAUCAGCUCAAAUUUCACACAAAUAUUCAUAUCAACAGUAUUUAGCACUAGAAUCACCUGAAUAUUGAAACUGGACUGUAAGGAAAAUGGACCUUGAUGUCUUCAUUGUCCACCAAACAUUUCUUCUGCUGUCAAAAAUUCACCUGUUAAAAGUCCUAUGGAAUAUACAACAUUUCCAUUCUAAUUCUCCUAUGAGGAAUAUUUGGUCCUUUUUGUAGAGGAUUGAGAGAAAAGGGUAAUUACUAAAUAAUAUUAAUGUAUUCAGCAACUACAAUAAUAAAUGGAAUGUAAACAAAAGGAAAUGCUGGGAGGAAAGAGUAUAGAUUUACCAUCCCUCUGUGUGUGCUAAACUGUGCACAUUCUUUUGGCAGCAUUUUCCUUCAAUAGCAUUAAUUUCCUGUGCGUGUUCAAAAAUAACUUUGUGGAAUUCCAACACUUUCAGAGAGCAAUCUCAGCUUUAAAGGAGCACUAAUGAGCUGUGUAUUGAAUCCAAAAUUCUAACUUUUCAUCCAAAAUGAAUUGCUUGUGCAACUUGUUUUUAAAAGGCAGUUUAUUUGUUUUCAAAUGACAGCAAAGUGUGAAUAGUAUCUGAAAGUUCAAAGCUAAAAGCUACUGACAUGAGGAAAAAACAUAUUGUAAGAUGUAGAAAAAAAUUAUAAUCAUUAUUUUGAGUUUAUCUUCUUACUGUAUAUCAUCCUUAAAAUCAUGAUUUAUUUUCUGGAACAUAU